GGCCUCUGUGGCUUAGUUGGUGAAAGUGCUUGUCUUGUAAACAGGAGAUCCUGGGUUCAAAUCCUAGCGGGGCCU